rnacentral:rRNA from 1 species
CCUACGGGUGGCAGCAGUGAGGGAUAUUGGUCAAUGGACGAGAGUCUGAACCAGCCAAGUCGCGUGAAGGAUGACUGCCCUAUGGGUUGUAAACUUCUUUUAUAUGGGAAUAAAAUGUUCCAAGUGUGGGAUGAUGUAUGUACCAUCUGAAUAAGGGUCGGCGAACUCCGUGGCAGCAGCCGCGGGUAUACGGAGGAUCCGAGCUGUAUUCGGAUUUAUUGGGUUUAAAGGGAGCGUAGGUGGAUUGUGAAGUCAGUUGUGAAAGUUUGCGGCUCAACCGUAAAAUUGCAGUUGAAACUGGCAGUCUUGAGUACAGUAGAGGUGGGCGGAAUUCGUGGUGUAGCGGUGAAAUGCUUAGAUAUCACGAAGAACUCCGAUUGCGAAGGCAGCUCACUGGACUGCAACUGACACUGAGGCUCGAAAGUGUGGGUAUCAAACAGGAUUAGAUACCCUUGUAGUC